GGGAAGGGACAGGGAUGAGCACCUGUUUCUGUUCCGCUCUGUGUGUUGGCCCCAUGACUGCUCGCCCUCUCAGCAAGCUUUCUGAUACGAUUUAUUAAGAAUUGCUGAUGCAUUUGGAGGAUUUAAGCACAGCCUUCAAGAUGCUGCAACUAAGCACUCUACAGGCUUCAGACUUGAGACAGUCGGCUUCCCAUCUUCUGGUUCACAUGUCUAUUCCAUGUCUCAUCUAGCAUAGCUGUAACGAUGCUCUCAAUAACCCAUCACAAAUCAAUACUCUAAAGCAACACUGAGAUGAACACACCUGCAAGAAGGACAGCAGAGCCCAAGCAAACUAGGCUGGGUAUGGCUGGGUUGCAGCCACAUCUGAAGAGACAACAUAACUAUAUACUCCAAGCUCCUUCCCUCAAGUCUCCCCGCCAUGAUGGACUCCACAUUCAAACG
rnacentral:sRNA from 1 species